CAAAUGUUAUCAAUAUAGCCUGUACGUCAUCAUUUGUGUCGCUUGUGCCUAUGUCAAAAGCUGUGCAUCACUUUGUUUCUGUCUGAUUUCUAAACUGGGGGCGUGUCAACCUUCAUCUACUGUAGUUAAUACAUUGAAUAUGAAUACAUUUUCUCAUACAACCAAACAUCCAAACUGACUCAGUACACUAUUUUCGUGGAGGUCUUUCCAAAAAAUGUUCUUUCCCAUCCUGGUCUCUGAAUGUUUGUGUACUGGCCCUUGUUGUGCAGCACCCUCCGGAUGUGUCCUAUGACAUGAUCAUCCCCAGAGCCUCAGCCAGCUCAGCAGCCAACAGCGGGAGCAGCACCCCCUCGACCCGCACUGACAGCAGCAGCACCGCACACACAAACGGACACAGCGGAAAUGGUCUGCAGAGGACGUCCCAGUGGUGAAGAUCCCCAAUACCCCUUCAAAAUAACUUAAGUUCAUGUCUUUUAAUUUGCACCUGUUGGCUGUAUUUAUGCUGUUCUCCAUGGUUCCCUAAGCUGUUUCUAAGAGGAACCUUCAGCCCAGACAUGUGGCGAACGCUGCCUCAUUCCCACUGAUGGAAAACAGCUUCCGUUGACCGUUCUUUCCCAUGAGCCACUGGGUGUCAGAAGUUUAGAGCUUCAUUUGGAAGUCAAAGCGAGGGGAUAAAGCAGAACAAAGACUUUUUGCAAUGGCGGCCUUUCACUGGGAAUCCUCUCUGCUGGAGCCAAUCACAGCUGCAGAGUGACGGGCUGACGGUGCAAAUAUCAUCUCCACGUGUUCACACACACAAACUCCAUGAAUGUGACUGCAGCGGCACCAAUGAAACCAUCUUCACUUAUAUUUAACAUAUUCUGCACAUGUGAGUUUAAUUAUAGGAUCUAUUCUUGUGCUUCUAUUUGUGAAUAUUGUUAACAACCACACAUAAAAUUGAACUUCUGGUGUUGGAUUAUUGUAAAUAUGUUAUUAAUGUGUCAAUAGUUCUACACUGCAUGAAAGCAUUUUAUGAAUAUGUGUAUUUAAUACUAUUUAUAGCACCGCUGUGUGCUAUUCAAUUAUUAUAGCUCACUUUUAAUAAUCAAAUAAUCAUUUGAAUAGAGCCAUAAACACGCCUGGGAUUAGCUUGUUUCACUUGCUUAUAAUGCUUAACGUAUUUUCAUAAUACCAUGAUAUUUUUAAGUCCAUAAAUAAAUAUCUAUCUAAUUCAUUACAUCACCUACACUUUGAGAACCUUGUCAAUCUCACAGAGAUA